rnacentral:rRNA from 1 species
UAGGGAAUCUUCGGCAAUGGACGAAAGUCUGACCGAGCAACGCCGCGUGAGUGAAGAAGGUUUUCGGAUCGUAAAACUCUGUUGUUAGAGAAGAACAAGGACGUUAGUAACUGAACGUCCCCUGACGGUAUCUAACCAGAAAGCCACGGCUAACUACGUGCCAGCAGCCGCGGUAAUACGUAGGUGGCAAGCGUUGUCCGGAUUUAUUGGGCGUAAAGCGAGCGCAGGCGGUUUCUUAAGUCUGAUGUGAAAGCCCCCGGCUCAACCGGGGAGGGUCGUUGGAAACUGGGAGACGUGAGUGGAGAAGAGGAGAGUGGAAUUCCAUGUGUAGCGGUGAAAUGCGUAGAUAUAUGGAGGAACACCAGUGGCGAAGGCGGCUCUCUGGUCUGUAACUGACGCUGAGGCUCGAAGGCGUGGGGAGCAAACAGG